rnacentral:rRNA from 1 species
GAUGAACGCUGGCGGCGUGCCUAAUACAUGCAAGUCGAGCGAACAGACGAGGAGCUUGCUCCUCUGACGUUAGCGGCGGACGGGUGAGUAACACGUGGAUAACCUACCUAUAAGACUGGGAUAACUUCGGGAAACCGGAGCUAAUACCGGAUAAUAUAUUGAACCGCAUGGUUCAAUAGUGAAAGACGGUGGUGCUGGCACGUAUAGAGGGAUCCGCGCCGCAUUAGCUAGUUGGUAAGGUAACGGCUUACCAAGGGAACGAUGCGUAGCCGACCUGAGAGGGUGAUCGGCCACACUGGAACUGAGCCACGCUCCAGACUCCUACGGGACGCAGCAGUCUGGAACCUUCCGCAAUGGGCGAAAGCCUGACGGAGCAACGCCGCGUGAGUGAUGAAGGUCUUCCGAUCGUAAAACUCUGUUAUUAGGGAAGAACAAAUGUGUAAGUAACUAUGCACGUCUUGACGGUACCUAAUCAGAAAGCCACGGCUAACUACGUG